rnacentral:rRNA from 1 species
AACGAACGCUGGCGGCAGGCCUAAUACAUGCAAGUCGAACGGUAAGUAUUUUAGCAAUAGGAUACGAGAGUGACGUACGGGUGCGUAACACGUAUGCAACCUACCCAAAACAGGAGGAUA